UGUGGAACGUUAGAGCUCCCUUCGGUCCAAAAAGGGGUUUUGCCGUGGGUCGAUCGAGCUGCUGGGUCAUGGAUCCCGUUAGCCUAUUCCAUGCUCGCUUGCUCAGCUCGAGAUCUGAGAAGAAGCCGCUGAGAUGGGAGCACCCGCCGUUGGGAUAGGCUUACGGCUUGCAUGCCCCAGGAGCUGCAUCAGCCCUCCAUGGACCCUCUUUGGAUUGAAGGGAGCUCUGCAUCUUUUGCUC
rfam:Oryza brachyantha chromosome 1, whole genome shotgun sequence.